AACGGAACGUUACAUGAUUUGCAAAUGCUAGUCUUUGUUUGUGCGCGGGUUAGGAACGCGCGGAAUGAACGGAACGAAGGGUUUUGAUCGAUGCAGCGGCGGGCGUGAGCGCAGCGCCGGAUUGACAUUCGCUCGCUGGUCGCUUCUAGACUGGUGUGUGCGUUGACCUCCAACCAAAUUCCGUCGUGGCAAGCGCCCUAGCAGACACGGCCGUUUAAUUUUGAAAAUUAAUUUUAUUAAAUCAAGUGAUUCAGUAUAUUUGUUGUGUGGAAAUCCCGAAUUAGGGUUUUUCCACCCGGCUAUAAGACGCCAGCAGCAGCAGCCUCGUGUUCGGUUUGUUACGAGCCGAGGUGUCGCCGUCGCGAUAGCUUCGUGCAGCACCGCGUGCACGUCAGCACCGUCUCCAUCCCUGUGACGUCACCGUACAGCACCGCAGUACAUCUCGGCCUACUUCCAUCUCCGGCCAGCGGCGUGAUUUCGCCGCCACUACAGGGGAGUACCUAUCCCUGCAGAAGUGACUUCAGACAAAGUUAUACUCACGACCCACAAAUCAAAUCUUUGUGUGCCUCCGGCUGUGGUUUUUUUUAUACAUUAUACAUUUUUUUUAAAAGGUA
rnacentral:lncRNA from 1 species